rnacentral:rRNA from 1 species
UACGUAGGGAGCAAGCGUUGUCCGGAAUCAUUGGGCGUAAAGCGCGCGUAGGCGGCCUCAUAAGUCCGUUGUGAAAGUCAAAGGCUCAACCUUUGAAAGCCGAUGGAUACUGUGAGGCUAGAGUCCGGAAGAGGCGAGUGGAAUUCCUGGUGUAGCGGUGGAAUGCGCAGAUAUCAGGAAGAACACCUAUGGCGAAGGCAGCUCUCUGGGACGGUACUGACGCUGAGACGCGAAAGCGUGGGGAGCGGACAGG